rnacentral:sRNA from 1 species
CGCCUAAACCCAGCAGCAAUGCCGGGCAUGGCUCAAAAACGAUUGCGCGUAUUAAGCUCCUAGUCAGAGCACGCGCAAUCGUCAUAUCUCGAAAGGGGUAUGGGUCCCGCAAGGGAUC